rnacentral:rRNA from 1 species
AUUGAACGCUGGCGGCAUGCCUAACACAUGCAAGUCGAACGAGUGGCAGACGGGUGUGUAAUGUAUGGGAAAUUGCCCGAUGGAGGGGGUUAACUACUGGAAACGGUAGCUAAUACCGCAUACCAUCGGAUUGGCCCAGAUGGGAUUAGCCAGUUGGUGGGGUAAAGGCUCACCAGGGCGACGAGCCCUAGCUGGUCUGAGAGGGUGACCGGCCCAACUGGAACGGAGAAAGGGUCCAGACUCCUACGGGAGGCAGCGGGGGGGAAUUUUGGACAAUGGGCGAAAGCCGUAUGCAGCCAGGCCGCGUGAGUGAUGAGGGCCUUCGGGUUGUAAAGUACUUUCAGCGAGGAAGCGGUAUCCGCAUAAGAAGCACCGGCUAACUCCGUGCCAGCAGCCGCGGUAAUAC